CUACUAAGAUGCCAACUCCAUUCCUACGCCUCUCGCUCUCAGAGUACCAAAGCUUAUAACCAUCCACAUCCCUAGCCUUAGACCCUACCCACUUGGUCUCUUGAACAUACCUAAUAUUAAUCCUCCUUUUUCUAAGAAUCUUCACAAGCUCUAUGGACUUACCCUGAAGAGUCCCUAUAUUCCAAGACCCAACCCUCAGCCU
rnacentral:lncRNA from 1 species